CAGUGGAGGCGCCGCGGAACCGCUGUGGGGAGCGCCGUGCAUGACAGCGGCCUGUGCGCAGGCGCAGAUGGCCGCUCUGAGAGGCUGGGCUGGACGGCGAGGGCGACCUUGGCUGAGGGCCUGGGUGGCGGCCCUUGGCCGUAGCAGUGUCUGCGCGGUCCUGGACGGGUCGCAGUAGCUUUAACACAUGUGAACCUUGGAGGUCAUCAUGUCCAUGAAAAAAAAAGGUGGAAAGACUGAACGUCAGUGGCACUGCUUGAACCCAUCAGAAAACUAAGGUCGCUGGACACAGCUGCCGCCUGUAAUCUGGAAAGAAAGAUACGAAUAGACACAGCAGAGAUCUACUUACUGGAGCAGAAGCUGCAGGUGCCAUAAAUGAUAAUAACUCUUACAAGAUGGGGACCUGAAUCCUGCGCCCUGCAGAGAUCUGGAUUCCUGUCACGGCACGAUGCGAAUGGACAGAGGUGAACAGGUGGAUCCAGAGUUAAGGAUUUUGGCACGUGAUUGGCAGAGAGUGCCAACCUGAGCAUGCCCCAAUAAAAAACCUUGUGCUUCUGUGGACAGAAACAUUGUGAACACGUUGCAGAAGAGGGCAUUCUGUGCAACCCUUCUACGGGAAGGAUAAAGCACCAGGAAGCUUGCCCAUGAAUUCCCCCAGACUCCACCUGUGUCUUUGCCCCUUAUGAUCUGGCCGUCUUGCCUCCAUCCUGCUGCUGUGAUAAAUUGCAGCCAUGAGUGCAACCCUAUGCUGAGUCCCUCAAUUCCUUCCAGUGGAUCUCUGAACAUGACGGUGAUAUUAGGGACCUCAACACAGAGGACCAGCCCAGAAAGUGAACCUGGUCACUUCCAGAACCCAAAUAUACCAUCAACUCCAGCGGGCAGGUAGGACAUACACAUUUGGGCAGAGGAGAAGAGACUUUGCGAAUCACCUACCUGGGGUUUGCAUCCUGUACUGGCAACGGAAAGAUCAUAGAACUCAAUGAGGCAUGAAAUGGAAAUCUUACGGGAACAAAAAAAUAAUAGAUGAAUAUAAAAUGGAGUGGUUUUGAUGGAUACGGUUAGUUAUGGUUUUGAUGGAUUCUAAUGGAAAAUGGGGUAAAAGAUAUAUGAGAGGCCUGAGUAUAUUAGAGAAAAAAUAUUUGACCUUUUGUCUUCUGAGAUGCAAAACUGGUAAAAUAUGCAAAUUGGUAUUAUCUUUUAUUAUAAGGUUAGUGGAAAUCUGUAGAGAUUUUAAAGGGAGGGUAUUUUCUUUAACCCAAAUCUCACUAAUUACUUCAGGAGAGAUAAUACAUUGUUGUCAUGUUACACAUAUUCCACUGCAAAAAUAUUCAUGUCCAAAUUAUAAAAUAUCUGACUCACUGUGCUGCUGGUGCUACUUGUCCACGUGGUACCUUUGUGAAAUUAGCAAAGGGCACUCCUUCCUCAAAAACGUUUGACUGUCAUGUUUCUGGUAAUUGUUAUAAUAAAUACUGUACUUUAUUGCUUUAGCUCUAAGACACUGGCAUUUGCAAGACUUCAUCUUAUUUUGUGUACCACUAAGAAAAACAAAUUCUGCCCACUCGAUAAAUUAGUUAUAAGAUUCCUCCCCAUUUCAGAGAAUCGAUGGAAGAUGAGUAAAUGAAGGUACAAUAUAGGACGUGAUUGUUGUCCUGUUAAGAUGCAGCUGUCCCUGUUGUUCAGUGCACAACAUACACAGCUGCAGGCAUUUGCCCUGCUAACAUCUCAGAUUUUACCUUCAGUGCUGUAUGCCUUUCAGGGUCCUGGCAUUCCUUAAUUCCUCAAACUCUUGAACACAGACCAGAGGCCCCAGGAAUACAGAUAACAUAAGUAGAACAAAACCCAGUUUUCAGGAUCCAUCCUGGGUUCUGUAGCAGCCAGGUCAGGGAAUGAAAACAUAUCCUUAGACUUGGAAGGGGACGGCCCGAGGUCUGUGACUUCUCAGCUGUGUGACAUUGGGCUGGUUAUACCACCUCCCUGAGCUCAGCUUCUUCACCCAUAGAAGCGGGAUAAUAACAUACACCCCUCAGAGCUGAGGAUUGUCCGAUGAUGCAGCUCAUUCAAAGACCUACCUGUGCUUAGGAGAUGCUGGUUCCACUUCACUCAUUCAGAAUCCUUUCAAAACCAUCCGGCAGUGUUUUAUUUGCUUGUCUCUAAGACAUGCAAGGGAUACAACUUGAAGUUUGGGAGCACGCUCUCUGUGCUAGUUAUUAAGCUGCCACUUCAGCUCCAGAUCACACUUGCACAUUUUAAUGGCAAAGGGUG